GCCCUAAAAAAAUGACAAAGUCUUAGGAGGCUGAGGCUGGAGGCUCACUUGAGUCCAGGAGUCCUGGGCUGUAGUGUGCUAUGCCAAUCGGGUAUCUGCACUAAGUUUGGCAUCAAUAUGGUGACCUCCUGGGAGUGAGGGACCACCAGGGAGCGGGGGACCACCAGGUUGCCUAAAGAGGGGUGAACUGGCCUAGGUCGGAAACGGAGCAGGUCAAAACUCCCAUGCUGAUCAGAAGUGGGAUCGCGCCUGUGAAUAGCCACUGCACUCCAGCCUGGGCAACAUAGCAAGACCUCGUCUCU
ensembl:misc_RNA Metazoa_SRP Metazoan signal recognition particle RNA